rnacentral:rRNA from 1 species
UACGAAGGGGGCUAGCGUUGCUCGGAAUUACUGGGCGUAAAGGGAGCGUAGGCGGGUUAUCAAGUUGGGGGUGAAAGCCCGGGGCUCAACCUCGGAAUUGCCUUCAAAACUGAUAACCUGGAGUAUGGAAGAGGUAAGUGGAACUCCGAGUGUAGAGGUGAAAUUCGUAGAUAUUAGGAAGAACACCAGUGGCGAAGGCGACUUACUGGACUGUAACUGACGCUGAGGCAUGAAAGCGUGGGGAGCAAACAGG